GAUGAACGCUGGCGGCGUGCCUAAUACAUGCAAGUCGAGCGAACAGACGAGGAGCUUGCUCCUCUGACGUUAGCGGCGGACGGGUGAGUAACACGUGGAUAACCUACCUAUAAGACUGGGAUAACUUCGGGAAACCGGAGCUAAUACCGGAAAAUAUAUUGAACCGCAUGGUUCAAUAGUGAAAGACGGUUUUGCUGUAACUCAUAGCUGGAUCCGCGCCGCAUUAGCUAGUUGGUAAGGUAACGGCUUACCAAGGCAACGAUGCGUAGCCGACCUGAGAGGGUGAUCGGCCACACUGGAACUGAGACACGGUCCAGACUCCUACGGGAGGCAGCAGUAGUGAAUCUUCCGCAAUGGGCGAAAGCUUGACGGAGCAACGCCGCGUGAGUGAUGAAGGUCUUCGGAUCGUAAAACUCUGUUAUUAGGGAAGAACAAAUGUGUAAGUAACUAUGCACGUCUUGACGGUACCUAAUCAGAAAGCCACGGCUAACUACGUG
rnacentral:rRNA from 1 species